GACGACCUCAAAACUGUCGAAAAUUCAAAACAGAAGAAACGAGGUGAAACGCAACGACAUCGGAACUGUUUGAAGCUUCCGUGACGUGGGUUUUGGGGCUGGAAUUUCGAGCAAGUUUAAGGAUUGUAUUGAGGAUGAAGCAGUGGUGGAGAGGGGCUGUUUUGUGGCUGAUGUACUACAUUUUUAGCUACUAUUUCAAAAGGAGCUAUAUUUUAAUGGACAAAAAUAGACAAAAGAAGGAACUUAUGGGUAGGAGAGCUAUGGAGCUUAAGGGAUUCUUUCAAUGGCUAUUUUUCAUCUUUUUAUCGAGCUUGAAAUGCUGAAGCAGAAUAUAUUUUUUGUUCUCUCUCUCUGUUCCCGUUUUCUUUUUCAGGUGUUCGUUCCUCAGAUCUCCCUUUUUUUGGUGUGUUAUCUGUUGAAGAAAGGAAUGACAUGGCAGGGGUCCCUUG
rnacentral:lncRNA from 1 species